AGCUUUGCGCAGUGGGAGUAUCGUAGCCAGUGAGGUUUAUCCAAGGUGUGAUUAUUGCUAAUUGAGAACAUGUAAUCUUGUCCAGAAGGAGCUUACAAUCUGGCAGUUGACCAGAAAGUGAAACAAAGGUAAAAUUUCUAAAUAGUAGUUCAAAAUUGC
rfam:Fukomys damarensis contig101755, whole genome shotgun sequence.